rnacentral:rRNA from 1 species
CCUACGGGGGGCAGCAGUGGGGGAUAUUGCACAAUGGGGGGAACCCUGAUGCAGCGACGCCGCGUGAAGGAAGAAGUAUCUCGGUAUGUAAACCUCUAUCAGCAGGGAAGAAAAUGACGGUACCUGACUAAGAAGCCCCGGCUAACUACGUUCCAGCAGCCGCGGUAAUACGGAGGGGGCAAGCGUUAUCCGGAUUUACUGGGUGUAAUGGGAGCGUAGGGGGCGGUGCAAGUCAGAAGGGAAAGCCCGGGGCGCAACUCCGGGACUGCUUUUGAAACUGUACAGCUUGAGUGCAGGAGAGGUGAGUGGAAUUCGUAGUGUAGCGGUGAAAUGCGUAGAUAUUAGGAGGAACACCAGUGGCGAAGGCGGCUUGCUGGACUGUAACUGACGCUGAGGCUCGAAAGCGUGGGGAGCAAACAGGAUUAGAUACCCGUGUAGUC